CACGUGGUGGGACUGCCGAGCCAGCUCAGAGCUGACAGACUAUGCUGCACGUAGGGAGCCCUGGCAGGAAGGAAGGGAAUAAAGGCGCUUUCUGGGAAAUCAGAUCUUUCAUGUGCACGCUGCCCUUGACCAUCUCCACAUGAUUGUUCCUGAUCUGUCCAGCAUCAAGGAUGCUCUUUCCACGUGGCAACAUCCCCUGGACCUGCUGCCCCCCUGCAAGGCACACACUGCGCUCUGGAACCCCCCAACGGCUGGCUGCAUCUGAACAGCAUCGCCAGCUCACAGGAGCCUCUGGAAGAAGCAACCCAGCAAACCCACAGGAGGUCUUACUCCGCUGCUGCUUUGAGCCCCAUCUUCCCCAUGCCAUCAUCCAGCCACCGUGAUCUCCGCUUGCUCCAAAUCGCCCUUCGCAGACUGUUUCCUUCCACAGAGCCUAACAUUAAGCAAGAGGCUGUUGGCAAGGGCUGGGGACACCCCACUUCUUUGCUGUUAGGUGGGGUGGAGGUAACACAGUUAGUGAUUUCCAGCCCUUGGUAAAUGAGCAUUUGCCACACGCAACAAGAUUACUGUGAGUGACUUCAUUUGCUUUGGAAACGGCUGAGUCAUUUGUAAUUACCGACACGCACCAGCAGCAAUCCCAGCGCUGGCGCUGGAUUAAUGGGAGCCCCGUGGCUGGAGGGCAGUCUCCAGGAGCUUCCCUGGGGCUUUGGCACGGACACGGAGCCCCACAGUGACUGUUCCCCGCCACCCACAGCUAGGCACGCCUGUGCUGCCACACCAAAGCAAUGUGCCUGAGGCAAAUCCUCCCAUCCUGUCCCCUCCAGCCAGCCACGAGGUCCCCAUCAGUGUCACCAUCGCAUGCCCAUGCGCUGGUCCAGGCGGGGAGCCCAAGGGGGGCUGGAGGGUCCCAGGCCAGCCAGGAUCUGCAGUGCAGUGGGUUUGACCUCGUUUAUAUUCCACUUGCUGCUGCAAAAAAGAGCAAUGGCCCUAAGACCAGCAGGGCUGGGCAGGUCACCCAGCGCAGGCAGGCGGUCAAGCCACCAUGGUCUGUCCCAGCCCACCCUCAGUGGAGGAAGGACAAGACCAGCUCAGGAAGGCGCAGGUUGCUGGGCAUCGCCUAAGGGGUCCCCGGUGCUCCCCAUCGCACCCCCCAUCACAUGGGGUGCUUGCUGGGGAAGGGAAGAGCCAUGUCCCUCCUCCAGCAAAGCAAUGCUUUGCAAACCUCAUCUGGCCUUUCCCACCACAGGGACCAGACCCGGCCGCCUUUGAAGCUGGGCUGCUCCCCUCCAGCGACCAGCUGGGGACGGGACACUCGGGUCAAUUUGCCACCAGAUGGCACCAAAUAAACCAUUGCGGGGACACACGGGGUGGCCCAGGGCCACUGCCACGCCUGAACCAGACCCUGGCUCCCAUCACCCCGUUCCUCUGCUCCCCACCUCGGCCGGCAGCAGCCGGAGCUGCCCGUGCUGCCCAUGGGACGAUGCAGCCGGCUCGGGCAUUUGCAUCGGGUAUUGUUUUAUGUGGUUUUAGCAGCAUUUGAUAAGGCACCCUCCUGCUGCGUGUUUAUACCCUGUCAGAAAAUUAAAGUAUUAAGUUUGGGCGUUUGCAUUUCAGUGGAAACUAUUAAACGGUAAUGAGUCUGGCCAGGUCUCGGCAGCCUUUUGUGUCAACAUAACUGUGGGCUCAGCCUUAGCUGGUCAGCGCCUCCGAGAGCAGCGUU